rnacentral:rRNA from 1 species
UGCCAGCCGCCGCGGUAAUACUGAAGGUGCAAGCGUUAAUCGGAAUCACUGGGCGUAAAGCGCUCGUAGGUGGUUUUGUAAGUCAGAUGUGCAGGCCCACGGCUCAACCGUGGAAUUGCAUUUGAUACUGCAUCGCUAGAGUAUAGGAGAGGGAAGUGGAAUUUCUGGUGUAGGAGUGAAAUCCGUAGAGAUCAGAAGGAACACCGGUGGCGAAGGCGACUUCCUGGACUAUUACUGUCACUGAGUAUCGCAAUCGUUGGGAGCAAACAGUAUUAGCUA